GACGAACGCUGGCGGCGUGCUUAACACAUGCAAGUCGAACGGAAAGGCCCUGCUUUUGUGGGGUGCUCGAGUGGCGAACGGGUGAGUAACACGUGAGUAAACUGCCCUUGACUUUGGGAUAACUUCUGGAAACUGGGGCUAUUACCGGAUAGGAGAUCCUGCUGCAUGGUGGGGGUUGGAAAGUUUCGGCGGUUGGAGAUGGAAUCGCGGCUUAUCAGCUUGUUAGUGGGGUAGUGGCGUACCAAGGCUUUGACGGGUAGCCGGCCUGAGAGGGUGACCGGCCACAUUGGGACUGAGAGACGGCCCAGACUCCUACGGGAGGCAGCAGGGGGGAGUAUUGCACAGUGGGCGGAAGCCUGAUGCAGCAACGCCGCGUGCGGGAUGACGGCCUUCGGGUUGUAAACCACUGUCGCCUGUGACGAAGCGUGAGUGACGGUAAUGGGUAAAGAAGCACCGGCUAACUACGUG
rnacentral:rRNA from 1 species